UGAUGCAGCNCGCCGCGUGCGGGAUGAAGGCCCUAGGGUUGUAAACCGCUUUCAGCAGGGAAGAAAAUGACGGUACCUGUAGAAGAAGGUGCGGCCAACUACGUGCCAGCAGCCGCGGUGACACGUAGGCACCAAGCGUUGUCCGGAUUUAUUGGGCGUAAAGAGCUCGUAGGCGGUUCAGUAAGUCGGGUGUGAAAACUCUGGGCUCAACCCAGAGACGCCACCCGAUACUGCUGUGACUAGAGUGCGGUAGGGGAGCGGGGAAUUCCUAGUGUAGCGGUGAAAUGCGCAGAUAUUAGGAGGAACACCAGUGGCGAAGGCGCCGCUCUGGGCCGUAACUGACGCUGAGGAGCGAAAGCGUGGGUAGCAAACAGGAUUAGAUACCCUGGUAGUCCACGCCGUAAACGUUGGGCACUAGGUGUGGGUCUCAACCAACGAGAUCCGCGCCGUCGCUAACGCAUUAAGUGCCCC
rnacentral:rRNA from 1 species